GACAGAGGAGCCAAGCGUUGUCCGGAGUUACUGGGCGUAAAGCGUCCGCAGGUGGGGGCGUAAGUGGGGUGUGAAAGCCGGUGGCUUAACUGCCGGAGGCCAUCUCCGACUGCGCGCCUGGAGGACGGGAGAGGGGCGUGGAAUUGCCGGUGUAGUGGUGAAAUGCGUAGAGAUCGGCAGGAACACCCAGGGGGAAGCCAGCGCCCUGGCCCGCACCUGACACUCAGGGACGACAGCGUGGGGGAGCCAACCGG
rnacentral:rRNA from 1 species